AGACACCCUCGGUGGCGCAGGCGCGCCGCGGGCUGAUGCGAUGGCGUUGCCGGGACCCGUGAACAGGUAUCUUCUGCUCAUGGCACAGGAACACCUGGAGUUCCGCCUGCCGGAAAUAAAGUCUCUGCUUUCACUUUUUGGAGGUCAGUUCACCAAUAGUCAGGAAACUUAUGGAAAGUCUCCUUUUUGGAUUCUUAGCAUUCCCUCUGAAGAUAUUGCCAGAAACUUAAUGAAACGGACAGUGUGUGCCAAGUCUAUAUUUGAACUGUGGGGUCAUGGAAAGUCUCCAGAGGAGCUAUAUAGUUCUUUGAGAAACUACCCUGUGGAGAAGAUGGUUCCAUUUCUGCAUUCAGAUUCUACAUAUAAAAUAAAGAUUCACACAUUUAAUAAAACGUUGACACAAGAAGAAAAAAUCAAACGGAUAGAUGCCCUUGAAUUUCUGCCAUUUGAAGGAAAAGUGAAUUUAAAGAAGCCACAACAUAUAUUCUCUAUUUUGGAGGAUUAUGGUUUGGACCCAAACUGCAUCCCUGAGAAUCCACAUAAUAUCUAUUUUGGUAGAUGGAUUGCAGAUGGGCAGAGAGAGCUUAUUGAGUCAUACAGUGUCAAAAAGAGACACUUUAUUGGAAAUACAAGCAUGGAUGCUGGUUUAUCAUUCAUCAUGGCCAACCAUGGAAAAGUGAAAGAAAAUGAUAUUGUAUUUGAUCCAUUUGUUGGAACAGGUGGCCUUCUGAUAGCAUCUGCUCAUUUUGGUGCAUAUGUAUAUGGGACAGACAUAGACUACAACACCGUUCAUGGCUUGGGAAAGGCUAGUAGGAAAAACCAGAAAUGGAGAGGACCAGAUGAAAACAUUAGGGCAAAUCUUCGUCAAUAUGGUUUAGAGAAGUAUUACCUUGAUGUCCUGGUUUCAGAUGCAUCUAAACCUUCUUGGAGGAAGGGCACAUACUUUGAUGCAAUCAUCACUGAUCCUCCAUAUGGUAUUAGAGAGUCUACAAGAAGAACAGGUUCACAAAAGGAAAUACCAAAGGGGAUAGAAAAAUGUCCAGAAAGCCACGUUCCUGUUUCCUUGAGUUAUCAUCUGAGUGAUAUGUUUUUUGACCUGUUAAACUUUGCAGCUGAGACCCUCGUAUUAGGUGGAAGACUAGUCUAUUGGUUACCAGUGUACACACCAGAAUACACUGAAGAGAUGGUACCCUGGCACCCUUGCUUGAAACUCAUCAGCAACUGUGAGCAGAAGCUUUCCGGUCGCACAUCAAGGCGCUUGAUAACGAUGGAAAAGGUGAAGGGAUUUGAGAGAACUUGCAUGUGGGAGAAACGAUGACCCAACCCAUUCCAGCAUCACGUGUUUGGUUCUGUAGUGAUCACGUGUUUGGUUCUGUAGUGAUCAGUGCAUAUUGCUCUGUGAACACCAGAGAGCGCCUACCUGAGGACAUGGUGCUUGAGUCAAGAGACCAACAUUUUCAGCAAAGAAUAAUUUGCAAAUGGACAUAAAUGACAAUGAUACACUUUACAGUCACUAAGGUAAAUAUGUAUUUGUAUAUUUCCACACUAUUCUUCUAAAAAGGAAAUGGUGUGAAUAAAUGCCAGUGCCCUCUGAAGGAAAAUGGCCAUCAUGUUGCUGCUCUGUAACUCUAGGUGUUUACAGCAAUCAGGACUUAGAGACGGUGAGGGAAAUAGAGCGCUCCUGACAGUCGGAUGCAUGAUGGUCAGCUCUGCUUUAAACUAUCUUUAUCCACAGCGGGAAAUACUAUACAGAAGGAUUUAUCUGCUUCAGCCAGCAGAGGGCACUGUACACAUAAAAGUACACUACCAAUUGUAAAGCUUCCUUUGAUUUUUUUUGGCAAGUGUGUUAAAAUUCCUCGAGUGGUUUAUGUUUAGAAUUAGCAGUACUGAUAGGACAGGAAAUUGGCUGGGUGGGACAGUGGUUAAAGGGGUUCUGUCUAAAAGUUUAGAUCUGAAAUAUGUGCUACCAAAUAUGUUGCUGUUCCGUGAAGAAUGUCCUCUAAAUGUCAAACUCCAUUUUGAACGACCCACUAAUCUACCAUGUGGGAAGUUAACUCUUUAACCAUUGUUUUGAUGUAAUUUCUACUUAAAAAAAAAAACAAACAACUGUGAUGGAAAACGCAUGAGCUUUGAAGUCUGAUCUAGUCUACAAUUCUGGAAAUACUGCUUACUAGAUGUGUGACUUGUGGCAGAUUAUUUAGACUCUUUUAGUCUCUUUCCAUAUCUGCAAAAUUUAGAUAAUAAUCUGUGAAAAGAUGCAGAAAAUUAAAUAAUUCACUUAUGUAAAACACAUAGUUGCAAAUACGUAUCAGUUGCUUUCUUGAAUCAGAACUUGUAUGUUUCUUGUCAUAUUUACAAUUGCUGUUUGUCUUACAAAGUUAAGUGAUAGGUCUGAAAGCUGUGUAUUUCCAUUAUGUAGCCAUCUGUAGCUAGCACAGAUUUUCCUACAGAAAUUCUUGAUUUCUGGUUAUAAAAAUGAUAAACAGUAGAUAGUGUAAUCAACAAUCUUAAUAUUUUAUUCAUAUUUCCUUAAGUACUGCCAUGUGCCAAAAUUUAACCAGUAGUUAUGAAAUUUGGGAAAAGUGGUCUGUAAUCUUUCAUUGCCAUAGUUUUCUUUCUUGGCAUUUCCUAAUUCUUUGUGUAUUUUUAUUUUCCAUGAAGUAUUUCUUGCUUACUAAAGAUUGGCAGAACUCAGGUUUCAUGAUACAUAGAUGAUAUCAUGACUGAUAGUGAUAGACAGAUUUGGAAGUGUUAGAGAAACCAGAAAUCAAACAUUGGGGCAAGAUUGAGUUAGUGAGGGAUAUCAAGCAUUGUGUUGCUUGAGGAUACUCUUCUCCUUUUAAGUAAACCCUUGGCAUUUGAGAUACUGAGUUGAAAAAAAAAUCUGCAGAUAUUCUUGGUUGAGAUGGGCAGGGAAUGUGAAUAGAGAAGAGCUAUCAAAAGGUGAUGAAAAAUAUGUAGAGUUGAAUAUCAUCAUCUCAAGUGUGAGCCCUGGUAAACUAAACUAAAGAUAGGAUGAAAGAGAGAGGGAAAAGAGAAAAAAAGAGCGAGCUUGCCGUUUUAUUCAGCAUCACGUUAACAUAAGUUCUGAAUGCUGCAAAUGGUAUUUUUCAUAAGGACCAGAGUAUAUGUUAAAUGUGUAUUGUUCAUAGGUAAUGAUAUUUACAUAUAUGAUAUGUAUGUGAUAAUAUGUGGACCAUAAAUGUACUGAAUGUUUUAUGUGGAACAUUUUAUGAACCAUAUCUUUUCCACCUAGAUGAAAAUGGUAGCCAAAGUCUCUGGAGUGUCUGGCUUAUCCCGAAGCAGGACUUAACGCUGCUAGUAAGAGAACGGCUCUUGCCAGGUCCCUGGCUGCACAAGGGAUUUGGAGCUUUUGGAUUCUCCAGGAGUUUUUGUUAUGAAUGUCUUAUUUCACAGUUAGGGGGCAAUCAGUCUUAUAGAAGGAGGCGUUCCACUAUAGGACCCAAACACAUACCUCACAUUGAUUCUUCUCUACUCCCUGGGAGAUAAAUAGCAUUUCCACCAGCCCCCAGAGGUUGCAUUUCGAAGGUUAAUAGUCUUUCCCCACUUUUCCUGUAGCAUGUAUUUCUCUGUCACUGGGUCUCUGUAGCACUGAAUAUAUGGUCUUUUAGGGGCUUAUUUUGCUUUUACUACUAUAUGUUCUGAGCGAAUCUUGAAGUCUAAACUAGUUAGAUAAAGAAUGCCAUAGGUAGUAUAUGUUUUCUUGAUAAACAUUAAUUAGCAUAGGUUUUAAUCAUUACUUUUGGGUUUUCCAGGUUUCUGCUGUUCAUUCUCAGUCUCUGCCUCUGGUCUUUAUAGUCUCUUCUUCAUCCUCAGUUUGUCCUAUGUAUAUCCUUUAAGUCAAAGACAAGCUAUUUGGUUAAGCUCCCACUUUUGUCUAUGAGGAUACCUACCUUCUAUUGUGCUUCAGCUUUUCUCUCCUGCUUCCCCCAGUGAGCUGCAUAAUUGGCAGUUUAGGUGGGUUAGGCACACAAGUAACUGAGCCUGAGUCAGUCCCCGGCCCAUCCUGGUCUUCAGCUGUCUUACCAUGCCUCUACCUUUUAAUCUAGCACUCUGGGAUCACACAUUUCUGUCCUGUCAUUCCACUGCAGCCCCAGGACAUUCACUGAAGUAGUCUGCAGUGCAUUUUGAGAUGUAGAGGUGCUCUUGCAUGGCUUAGAGGAGUCACAGGGAGAAGAGAGGACAGAAGGCAAAGCUGGGAAGGAUCUCAUUGCCUGACAGUGUUCUGAUCCCUCUUGUACAGAAGAGGAAAGUGAAAAGACAUUCAGCAAACUGAUGUGCAAUUGAAUCUCACUCCCAAAUGUUAAGGGAAAAGCCUCAGAAUUGGGGAAAGUUUGAACCCGUUUGGAUUUUAGCCAGAAUGCUGGAAUAUUAGAUUUGCAUUUUAAUAAGUUGCAUUUGAUCCCAUUAUGGAGAAUAGAGAGGGAGCCACAAAGGCAAGGCAACUGGCAGUUUAGGAAAAAAGCAAGGAGAGAUGAGGAAGGCUUAAACUAUAAUAGUGGAGUUACGGGUGAAGAGGAGGAGUGGAUUUGAGAAAUUUAGGAUGCAGAAUCUAAGAUUUUAGGACUGACUUAAUGUGAGAAGAAAAGGGAGAGCGAUUUGACCCAGGUUUCUGAUUUUGAUGACUGGGUGGAGAAUGAUGCAAAGAGCUGUGAGAAGUAAUGUAGCAGGAGAGAUGUCACAUCUGGACAUACCUUUACAUAUAACCAAGUAAAGGUAUUUCUGCCAGGAUUAAGGUAAUGUAGUUCAGAAAGUAGGCAAGUUUUCUAGUGAUCUUAUUUGAUAUAAGGACAGAAUGUAGAACGCCUGGAAGAGCAGAUGAUGGCAAAUCCCUUCCUUUCCUAUGACUCUUCAGUCAGACUUCUGAUAAAAGUUGCCAUGCACAAGGCAAGGCUAAAUGCUGGACCAUCAUCCUGUAUUGCUGCUCUCCCAGGCCCAGUCUGGAGAUGUGGACAUUGAGUCCUCCUGUCCAGUCGACAGUACUGCUAGGGUUAUGGUAUCCCUCAGGCAUCCUGUGGCUCCUUAUAUCUCCUUCUAGUAUGAAAAUUUUGUAUCAUUGAAAUAAUCCUCUUAGUUACUAGACCAAAGUUAAUAGCAUUUCUGAUCCAGGUCUCUUCCUUUCUGGGGAGCCUUUGUUCAUCACAUGUUUAUUCCCUGAGAUACUCCUUCUUCUUGAGUUGAGGCAAGAGUUAGCUCUUUUGGGGAAAAAAACCUCAUUAUGUUAUAGUUAAAGGGUGUAGUCCCUGGGUCUGGUAGACCUGUGUUCAAAUCCUAGCUCUGUCACUUACCAGCUGUAUUAUCUUGUGCUUGUACUCUUAAAUAACUCCUCAUCUGUAGAUGGUAAUAAGAGUGUACUUAUCUCUUAGAGCUGAUGAGUUUGUAUUAGAUAGUGCAUGUAAAGCAUUUAGGAUGGUUUUUGGCCCAUAAUAAAUACCCCAUAAAUACUACCUUUCAUUUGGUAUUCUUUAACUUUUUAUCUUUUGGGGAUUAUAUAGCUUGAAGUUAGUAACCAUUGGCAUGCUUUCACGUGCUUGCAAGAAUUUGGAACUGUAGUAUACUUAGUGCCAUAAAAUUUAAAUAGCCACUUUUUUUCUUUUUAAAUGAAUCAGGAAAUCUGGGCAUGUUUAAUAAUUUCUUUUUUUGUGUAAUUUAAAAAAAACAUUCUGGGGCAAAAUAGUUUCUGAAUAAACAAAUCAGCCAACAUAAUUUUAUUUUGGCUAAACCUGGGCUUUUAUUAAUAUUAGAUAUGAGGGAGAGAAUGAAAGUAUUCAUCUCAUACAGGAAUGAGGAAAAAUACAAAACUAUUUUGAGGAUUGUUAUAUUCCAGAUAUAUUUGUAGAUAUCAUUUUGAUACUGAAACCGAUAAAUAAUUAGGCUUCAUAUUUUCUAAUUAUGUCUCCCGUCUAUUCUCAGAAUCACAUUAAUCCCUGUACAUUUGAAUAUGAAUUUACAGAAAUGCAUGGGAAAUGAGAUUUUAUUUCUAAUUAGAUUUUUUUUCACAGUUUAAGGUGGCUAGUGAAAUUGGCUGAGAAGCUGAUGUUUCAAUGUUGUCUGUCAGUCUUCUUAUCCUCAAUUUUCUAAGCUGAAACAUGACAUUUUAGCCCAGGUUAAUAUUUCCAGUUUCCAAAUGUCAGUCUAAGCACUAGUCCUCACCUGUCUCUGAAGUCUAAAAGUGUGAAAAUCACUUGUUUAUCCUGUAUCUUCAUCUACUGAGGUUACUUAAAGUUGCCAGGAAUAGUUUAUUUCAUUAACUGAACGUGCAUGUACUCCCAAACAGUUUUACUGAUCUGUAUGACAUCAUACAAAUGUAAUAAUUUGUUGUUGUACACCAUUGGAGUAGAAGCUUCCUUGCUUGAUAAUUCUUAUAGUCAAAGACGGUUUCAGUUUGUGCUGAACUAGGAAUCGGAAGAUGCAGGUGGUUGUCCCAACUCGAGUUGCCUGGAUGAUUCUCUUUGCAUUCCCUGGGUCUCUGUUUUCCCAGUAAAAGUUUUUGUCUUCUCUGUCCAGAGGACUGUUGUGUGGAUCAGAUGAGGUGAAGUAAGUGAAAACACUUUGGAUACCCAAGCAUGAUACAGAUAUAAAGUGGUGGUGUAUUUCUUGUUCAUGUAAUAAAGGAAGACAACUGUGUACCAGAGAGUGAGAUUUUGCUUAAAGUAAAUGACUGCUUUGGUUGCAGGCUAACGAAAGAAACAACUCAAACAUCUUUAUUUUCUGUAUUUUCCAACCAACCAGAACCGGGACCAGUAUUCACAUCUGCUGAGUGAUCACUUUCUGCCGUACCAAGGUCAUAAUUCCUUCCGUGAGAAAUAUUUCAGUGGGGUAACAAAAA